UACGUAGGAUGCAAGCGUUGUUCGGAAUUACUGGGCGUAAAGAGUACGUAGGCGGUUUGAUAAGUCUGCUAUUAAAAGACUGGAGCUUAACUCCAGGACUGUAGUGGAAACUGUCAGACUAGAGGACAAUAGAGGAAGUCGGAAUUCUCAGUGUAGCGGUGAAAUGCGUAGAUAUUGGGAAGAACACCUGAGGCGAAGGCGGGUUGCUGGGCUGAUACUGACGCUGAGGCGCGAAAGCCAGGGGAGCAAACGGG
rnacentral:rRNA from 1 species